UAACACAUGCAAGUCGAGCGGAUGAAUGGAGCUUGCUCCUGGAUUCAGCGGCGGACGGGUGAGUAAUGCCUAGGAAUCUGCCUGGUAGUGGGGGAUAACGUCCGGAAACGGGCGCUAAUACCGCAUACGUCCUGAGGGAGAAAGUGGGGGAUCUUCGGACCUCACGCUAUCAGAUGAGCCUAGGUCGGAUUAGCUAGUUGGUGGGGUAAAGGCCUACCAAGGCGACGAUCCGUAACUGGUCUGAGAGGAUGAUCAGUCACACUGGAACUGAGACACGGUCCAGACUCCUACGGGAGGCAGCAGUGGGGAAUAUUGGACAAUGGGCGAAAGCCUGAUCCAGCCAUGCCGCGUGUGUGAAGAAGGUCUUCGGAUUGUAAAGCACUUUAAGUUGGGAGGAAGGGCAGUAAGUUAAUACCUUGCUGUUUUGACGUUACCAACAGAAUAAGCACCGGCUAACUUCGUGCCAGCAGCCGCGGUAAUACGAAGGGUGCAAGCGUUAAUCGGAAUUACUGGGCGUAAAGCGCGCGUAGGUGGUUCGGCAAGUUGGAUGUGAAAUCCCCGGGCUCAACCUGGGAACUGCAUCCAAAACUACUGAGCUAGUGUACGGUAGAGGGUGGUGGAAUUUCCUGUGUAGCGGUGAAAUGCGUAGAUAUAGGAAGGAACACCAGUGGCGAAGGCGACCACCUGGACUGAUACUGACACUGAGGUGCGAAAGCGUGGGGAGCAAACAGGAUUAGAUACCCUGGUAGUCCACGCCGUAAACGAUGUCGACUAGCCGUUGGGAUCCUUGAGAUCUUAGUGGCGCAGCUAACGCGAUAAGUCGACCG
rnacentral:rRNA from 1 species